rnacentral:rRNA from 1 species
GCUGGCGGCGUGCCUAAAACAUGCAAGUCGAACGGACUCUUAUAAUUGAUGCGCUUUCGAACCCACGGGUACGGAUCGCAUCAAUUGUAAGAGUUAGUGGCGGACGGGUGAGUAACACGUUGGUACCUACCCCGAAGUGGGGAAUAACUGCCCGAAAGGGUGGCUAAUACCGCAUAAUACCGCAAGGUUAAAGCAGUAAUGCGCUUCGGGAGGGGCCUGCGUCCCAUUAGCUAGUUGGUAGGGUAAAGGCUUACCAAGGCGACGAUGGGUAGCUGGUUCGAGAGGAUGAUCAGCCACACUGGGACUGAGAUACGGCCCAGACUCCUACGGGAGGCAGCAGUUAGGAAUCUUCCACAAUGGACGAAAGUCUGAUGGAGCAACGCCGCGUGCAGGAUGACGGCCUUCGGGUUGUAAACUGCUUUUAUAUGGGAAGAUUAUGACGGUACCAUAUGAAUAAGGACCGGCUAACUACGUGCCAGCAGCCGCGGUAAUACGUAGGGUCCAAGCGUUAUCCGGAAUCACUGGGCGUAAAGCGUUUGUAGGCGGUUUGUUAAGUGAGGUGUUAAAUCGUGUGGCUCAACCAUAUCGAUGCAUCUCAUACUGGCA